rnacentral:rRNA from 1 species
UACGUAGGGUCCGAGCGUUGUCCGGAAUUAUUGGGCGUAAAGGGCUCGUAGGCGGUUUGUCGCGUCGGGAGUGAAAACGCCAGGCUUAACUUGGCGCUUGCUUUCGAUACGGGCAGACUUGAGGCAUGCAGGGGAGAACGGAAUUCCUGGUGUAGCGGUGAAAUGCGCAGAUAUCAGGAGGAACACCGGUGGCGAAGGCGGUUCUCUGGGCAUGUUCUGACGCUGAGGAGCGAAAGUGUGGGGAGCGAACAGG